CAACUUUAAAAGGGGGCCAUUAUUGUCUGAUGCAAUAGCAGUAGGACGGAUUUCGAGCCCAGAGCCUUUCUGCCUUCUUCGCUACAGCCCCUUGGCAGAUGACUGCCUUGUUUGCCACUGUGCUGGGCUCUGGGAGACAGUGUUCCCUACCCCCGUGGAGGUUAUGCUGAAGAAACCAACACCUCACAAAGCCAACGUGCAUGAGAACCACCCAAGUCUCUGGUGAAAAUGCACAUCGGAUGGUGAAAAUCUACCUGAGCUCCACAAACUCUGGUGAUGCCCUAGUGCCUGUCCCCCGGACCUCGCUUUGAGUAGCAAAGGCUAGAGGGUGAUACAGCAUGUUUGUGCUUUAUUCAUCUGUGAAGAUUCCAGAAGAGAAGUAGGCAGUGUUAUGGCUCAACAAGCAUCCAUUGGACAGUGGAAAUCAGUCGGGAUCGCUGUGUUGUUGAUUUUCAACAACUGUAUUUCUCUUCAGCAACAAACCUCCAGAUUUAAAAGUUGAGAUGCUCAGAGGAAGAGGUGAUGAUGAUGAACACACUUAGCCGGGCACUGUCUGAAGCGUUCUGUUUUCAUCCUGGACACCUGUUGGCUCGCUCUACACCGGUUCAUCCUCUCACCUGGGCCCCUCCAGGGGCUCCCUGCACCCCACCCCCACCCCCACCCCCCGCACCCUACCCCUCUUCUGUCUGCUCUUCACAAGGCAGCCAGCUUGAUUUUCUCUAAUGCUAAUUUCCCCUGCCCCUUCUUCGAGGCUUUCUACCCAUUGUCCACACUGCUUCCAGAGUGGAGCAGAUUUUUAUUUUUAAAAAACAAGAUCUGGGGCACCAGGGUGGCUCCAUCGGUUAAGCGUCGACUUCAGCUCAGGUCACGAUCUCCUGGUUUGUGAGU